GGGAGAGCGGGUCGUGUUUGGGUGUUACAAUGCUAGCUAGCCAAGUGGGUAACGUUAGGCCAAGUAGUUUGCGGCAUGGCGUUUUUCUUUAUGGUUUAAAACCUACAAACAUUUUUUUUUUUUUAAUCUAGUUUUACCUGUAACUCGUAAUACUUUAAUGAAUUCAACUAAAUUAAUAAAAUUAUUUAUCAACCGUAUUGCUUCUAACGUUGGACUAGUUAGUGAACUGGCAAGCGAAUGUAUAAAUCCGGUUUAUCAAAUUUGCUAUCGGCUUGUGUUCGCUUGCCCAGAUUGAUAUAUUUAUCAGCCUUAGUUGCUGUAAUGUUAGCUAACGUAAUUCUUGUCUGGACGGACAUCCCGGUGGUACCGAGCGAGAUCUCCAGCUACUCUGGCCACCUGGUGUAGGGGUGCCCUCGUGUGGAUGGAGUCUGCAACAAGCUGCAGAAAAUGAGGACAAAAUCGGUAUUGAUGUGUUACGAACUAGUGGAGCACUUGGGGGUGAUUUGUCAGACUUGGUUUUUUUGGGGGUUUUUUUGUAUGAAAAUAAACUUUUGAUAUAGAA